UUACGCAUGCAAGUCGAGCGGGGAGAUGUAGCUUGCUACAUUACCUAGCGGCGGACGGGUGAGUAAUGCUUAGGAAUCUGCCUAUUAGUGGGGGACAACAUUCCGAAAGGAAUGCUAAUACCGCAUACGCCCUACGGGGGAAAGCAGGGGAUCUUCGGACCUUGCGCUAAUAGAUGAGCCUAAGUCAGAUUAGCUAGUUGGUGGGGUAAAGGCCUACCAAGGCGACGAUCUGUAGCGGGUCUGAGAGGAUGAUCCGCCACACUGGGACUGAGACACGGCCCAGACUCCUACGGGAGGCAGCAGUGGGGAAUAUUGGACAAUGGGCGAAAGCCUGAUCCAGCCAUGCCGCGUGUGUGAAGAAGGCCUUUUGGUUGUAAAGCACUUUAAGCGAGGAGGAGGCUACUUGGAUUAAUACUCUAGGAUAGUGGACGUUACUCGCAGAAUAAGCACCGGCUAACUCUGUGCCAGCAGCCGCGGUAAUACAGAGGGUGCGAGCGUUAAUCGGAUUUACUGGGCGUAAAGCGUGCGUAGGCGGCUUUUUAAGUCGGAUGUGAAAUCCCUGAGCUUAACUUAGGAAUUGCAUUCGAUACUGGGAAGCUAGAGUAUGGGAGAGGAUGGUAGAAUUCCAGGUGUAGCGGUGAAAUGCGUAGAGAUCUGGAGGAAUACCGAUGGCGAACGCAGCCAUCUGGCCUAAUACUGACGCUGAGGUACGAAGCAUGGGGAGCAAACAGGAUUAGAUACCCUGGUAGUCCAUGCCGUAACGAUGUCUACUAGCCGUUG
rnacentral:rRNA from 1 species